rnacentral:tRNA from 1 species
GCGGGAUUGGUCUAGUCUGGUAGGAUGCCAGCCCCCCAAGCUGGCGGUCGCGGGUUCAAAUCCCGCAUCCCGCA